GCUCUCUUUUAAAAUCCACAUAUAUUUUUAUAAUCAUUUUGUGAACUAAAAUGCAUUAUUCAGAACAGAUUUGUUUUCACAACCAACAUUUUUUUUAUUUCUUGUAUUAAUCCAUUAACACUCCCAUUGCCUUGGAGUUACUGGGUUAAAGCAAACCUGCGCAUAUUUUCAUAAUGCAAAACUACUGAACCCUGAAUGGUUUAUUUCCGAGUGUGAAUUUAAUGUUGCUGUUAACUUGUUUUGUAGUAACAGUUUGCAGCAUAAUUUUUGUCCUAGUCGAGUAACAUUUUCUUGUUUUUGGUACGGUAUUUACAAUUAUCCUCAAUGCACGCAGCCAGACAAUGCAAAAAUGGCCUAAUAUACUUUAAUGUUAUAAUAUUCAAUCAAGACAUGAGAUUGGGCCAUUCCAGAAAACAUCCAUACCCCCCCCCCCAUUCAGAUGUCUUCAUUUUCAUUCAAUUACUGUUAGAAGAAACCAUUUUUUCUCCGGACAGCAGAAAUUUCCUCUCUGGCAGGAGUGUGGAUUUUUUUUAGAAUGAUCGAUUGAGGCAUGAAUGCCACUAUUGAAUAUAGGCAGUCAUGUAUUGAAAUUUAGUCAUAAUAGUGAUUUUAUGUAAAUUUGAAUCUUCAGUGCUAGGAACAAAUAUACUUCAAUUAUUUUUAAUAUCAAAAAAUACCUUUUUAGUUUACAUCAUCAACAAUAAUAUAACAGAUGAAUAUUUAAAUUAACAACUUUAAUAAUUUUCAAGACUUGUAAACAAUUAUGAAAUAAAGAGAUAAAUUUGCAAAUUGCAGUUUAAUUUUAUUUAAAUGGUAUUUUUCACCAAAUUGAAACUAUAAUUGAAAUGCAACUAUAUCACAUGUAUAU